rnacentral:rRNA from 1 species
GGUUAAGUUAGAAAGGGCGCACGGUGGAUGCCUUGGCACUAGGAGCCGAAGAAGGACGGGACUAACACCGAUAUGCUUUGGGGAGCUGUACGUAAGCGUUGAUCCAGAGAUUUCCGAAUGGGGGAACCCACUAUCUUUAGUCGGAUAGUAUCCUUACGUGAAUACAUAGCGUGAGGAAGGCAGACCCAGGGAACUGAAACAUCUAAGUACCUGGAGGAAGAGAAAGAAAAAUCGAUUUCCUGAGUAGCGGCGAGCGAAACGGAAAGAGCCCAAACCAAGAAGCUUGCUUCUUGGGGUUGUAGGACACUCUAUACGGAGUUACAAAAGAAAGUUAUAAAUGAAGCGGUCUGGAAAGGCCCGCCAAAGACGGUAACAGCCCGGUAGUUGAAAUGGCUUUCCCUCCAGAGUGGAUCCUGAGUACGGCGGAACACGUGAAAUUCCGUCGGAAUCCGGGAGGACCAUCUCCCAAGGCUAAAUACUCCCUAGUGACCGAUAGUGAACCAGUACCGUGAGGGAAAGGUGAAAAGCACCCCGGAAGGGGAGUGAAACAGUUCCUGAAACCGUGUGCCUACAAGUAGUUAGAGCCCGUUAAUGGGUGAUAGCGUGCCUUUUGUAGAAUGAACCGGCGAGUUACGAUUUGUUGCAAGGUUAAGCGGAAAAAGCGGAGCCGUAGCGAAAGCGAGUCUGAAUAGGGCGCAUAAGUAACAGGUCGUAGACCCGAAACCAGGUGAUCUACCCAUGUCCAGGAUGAAGGUAAGGUAAUACUUACUGGAGGUCCGAACCCACGCACGUUGAAAAGUGCGGGGAUGAGGUGUGGGUAGCGGAGAAAUUCCAAUCGAACUUGGAGAUAGCUGGUUCUCUCCGAAAUAGCUUUAGGGCUAGCCUCGAGGUAAAGAGUCAUGGAGGUAGAGCACUGUUUGGACUAGGGGCCCUUCUCGGGUUACCGAAUUCAGAUAAACUCCGAAUGCCAUGUACUUAUACUCGGGAGUCAGACUGCGAGUGAUAAGAUCCGUAGUCGAAAGGGAAACAGCCCAGACCACCAGUUAAGGUCCCCAAAUAUAUGUUAAGUGGAAAAGGAUGUGGGGUUGCUUAGACAACCAGGAUGUUGGCUUAGAAGCAGCCACCAUUGAAAGAGUGCGUAAUAGCUCACUGGUCGAGUGACCCCGCGCCGAAAAUGUACCGGGGCUAAACAUAUUACC